AUUGAACGCUGGCGGCAGGCCUAACACAUGCAAGUCGAGCGGAUGACGGGAGCUUGCUCCUUGAUUCAGCGGCGGACGGGUGAGUAAUGCCUAGGAAUCUGCCUGGUAGUGGGGGACAACGUUUCGAAAGGAACGCUAAUACCGCAUACGUCCUACGGGAGAAAGCAGGGGACCUUCGGGCCUUGCGCUAUCAGAUGAGCCUAGGUCGGAUUAGCUAGUAGGUGAGGUAAUGGCUCACCUAGGCGACGAUCCGUAACUGGUCUGAGAGGAUGAUCAGUCACACUGGAACUGAGACACGGUCCAGACUCCUACGGGAGGCAGCAGUGGGGAAUAUUGGACAAUGGGCGAAAGCCUGAUCCAGCCAUGCCGCGUGUGUGAAGAAGGUCUUCGGAUUGUAAAGCACUUUAAGUUGGGAGGAAGGGCAGUAAGUUAAUACCUUGCUGUUUUGACGUUACCGACAGAAUAAGCACCGGCUAACUCUGUGCCAGCCGCCGCAGUAA
rnacentral:rRNA from 1 species